UACGUAGGGGGCAAGCGUUGUCCGGAUUUAUUGGGCGUAAAGAGCGUGUAGGCGGCCAGACAGGUCAGCUGUGAAAACUCGAGGCUCAACCUCGAGACGUCGGUUGAAACCGUCUGGCUAGAGUCCGGAAGAGGAGAGUGGAAUUCCACGUGUAGCGGUGAAAUGCGUAGAGAUGUGGAGGAACACCAGUGGCGAAGGCGGCUUUCUGGUCUGUAACUGACGCUGAGGCGCGAAAGCGUGGGGAGCAAACAGG
rnacentral:rRNA from 1 species